AUCAAGCUGACGAGUCCCAAAUAGGACGAAACGCGCGUCCUGAAU
rfam:Schistosoma mansoni, Puerto Rico, WGS project CABG01000000 data, contig: 0244